CCUACGGGGGGCAGCAGUGAGGAAUAUUGGUCAAUGGGCGCGAGCCUGAACCAGCCAAGUAGCGUGAAGGAUGACUGCCCUACGGGUUGUAAACUUCUUUUAUAAAGGCAUAAAGUGAGGCACGUGUGCCUUUUUGUAUGUACUUUAUGAAUAAGGCUCGGCUAACUCCGUGCCAGCAGCCGCGGUAAUACGGAGGGUCCGAGCGUUAUCCGGAUUUUUUUGGUUUAAAGGGAGGGUAGGUAGGUUGUUAAGGCAGGUGUGAAAGUUUGCGGCUCAACCGUAGAAGUGCAAUUGAUACUGGCAGUCUUGAGUGCACUGGAGGUAGGCGGAAUUCGUGGUGUAGCGGUGAAAUGCUUAGAUAUCACGAAGAACUCCGAUUGCGAAGGCAGCUUACUAAACUGCCACUGACACUGAUGCUCGAAAGUGUGGGUAUCGAACAGGAUUAGAUACCCCAGUAGUC
rnacentral:rRNA from 1 species